UACGUAGGCAGCAAGCGUUGUUCGGAAUUACUGGGCGUAAAGAGUGUGUAGGCGGUGCUGUAAGUUUGGUGUGAAAUCUCCCGGCUCAACUGGGAGGGUGCGCCGAAAACUGGAAUGCUUGAACAUGGGAGAGGAAAGCGGAAUUCCUGGUGUAGCGGUGAAAUGCGUAGAUAUCAGGAGGAACACCUGCGGUGUAGACGGCUUUCUGGACCAUUGUUGACGCUGAGACACGAAAGCGUGGGUAGCAAACAGG
rnacentral:rRNA from 1 species